ACCAGAAUGGCCAAGUGGCUAAGGCACUAGACUUAAGUUCCAAUAGACAUAUGUCUGCAUGGGUUCGAUUCCCCACUUCUGAUA
rnacentral:tRNA from 1 species